UCUUAUGGAUAAGCAAAGAAAAUAGUCUCUUGAGAUAGAAACUACUCCUGAUGAAGAUGCUAUGAA
rnacentral:pre_miRNA from 1 species